rnacentral:lncRNA from 1 species
CGCCGCGGGCCGCAGCCCUGGGAGCGGGCGGCCGGGAGAGAGGUCUGUUCCGGGUGGCGCGGCGCACGGAGGGACUGGCAGCCCCGGGGGCGGCCCGCGGCACGAAUUUCUUUUCGUUGCGUUUCCGGAGCCAGCCAGAGGAUUGUGUUUUCAAAUUUAGCGCCAGGCCGGGCAACCCGCACCCUGGCGCAGGGCCCGCCGGCAGGGGAGGGUCGCGGCCUCUCCCUUCCGCUUCUCGGCCAGUGCAGAAAUAUCAAACACACACACAAAAAUCUGUCAAAACCUCUAGACAAGUGAAUCUCCUGUAUUUCUUAUGAAGAUCAUACCAGAGAUGAAGACUUUGAAACAAAAACCAAAAUGCAGCAUCAACAUCCCUGAGGUUGAAAUCUGUGCCCUAUUCCUGUGGUACCUUCAAAGUUACAGGGAAGUCCUCGCGGCUGUUAUUUUCACUGGCCCCUGAAGUGCAUAGUCGGCGCUCCUACGGCACUUGAAAAUCAUCACCUAAUGCCUCAAGAUGACUCAAAACACACACUUUCCCACAAGAGAAUCUGUGUCAGAGUAAACUCUUCAAUAGCAGUGUUUAACACACCAAAUAAAGUUUAUUUGUAUUCAACUUGUCUUCUUUCG